CAACUGCGAUUUCUCUCAGAGGGUAC
rnacentral:piRNA from 1 species